rnacentral:lncRNA from 1 species
ACCAAUUCAUUCUUUUGAGAAAGCACAGGAAUGUGAAAAGAUGGUUAUCAAGGGCUUUCCUGUUACAGGCUGCUUGCCUGUUGCAGAGGGGUGGGAUGAGAAGAACAGAUGUGGACCCAGAGUGGCUCACUGCUGCUUCCUGUGACUCCAUUUUCCAUGACUCUUCAGCCUUUUCAAGGGCCAUGAGGUUAAGCCGACUGUAGCUUUGACCUUCUUUGUCAGGUUGUCAGAACAAGAACCUUCAUUAUAAAGAAUUGCACUUAUGGGAUAGAGGGCCAAAAAUCCUGGCUUCCCAACCACAGAGAUCACUUGAAUGGCAUCCAUUUCUCAACUGCACUGAAGUCAUAGCCAGUUAUUGAAAUCAAACUUCAUGAAGACCAUGACCUUUCACUCUUGUCAGAGAGAAACAUGUAUUUGGAAUGUGGAUGUGACUCACAGUAGCUGUGCCUGGAGAAAGCAAAAAUUCAUAUGUGCAUUCACUCACUUCACAGACCUACAGCAAGGUGUGUACAGGAGCUCCAAAGUAGCUAUAGGUGAGUUUUACCCAUGAAAUGCUCAUUGUUAAAUUUCUGUGCAUUUAGGGUUUGUUUUUUAAAAACAGUUUUCUUUUGAUUUUUCUGGUAGAAGUAGCCUGAUUCAGUACAAUUGCAUAUGAAAAACCAGAUUUGGAAGUUUUGGAGGAGGUCAAAAGUAUGGAUGAUGAAUAUGAUGAUGACUUUGAUGUUGGUCAUAUGAACCAAAGUUUCUAUGACAAUGAAAUGGAGGAAAAUCAACCAAUACAGACACAGGGAAUGCAGAUAUCCUUGAUUCAGAUGAUGAAGAGAGCAGCAAUGUAAGUACAUAUUUGACUAGUCAAAAUGGUAGAAAAUUGUCACACAACCAAAUGGAACAAUAAAAUGUUAGAAUUAGGUCUGAAAAUAUAGUGAGGAUCCCUGGGGAUUUAACUCAGUGGCACCACUGCCUGCCUCGCAGGCACAAUGUCCUGAGUUUGAUCCCUGGUUUAAUAUAUAUAUAUAUAAAAUCUUAACAGGGUGAAACCUAUUGGAUGAAAUGCCAGGACUGACUGCCAUUCAGUGUUGGAAAUUGUAACAGAUGAAAUACUACAAGAUGCUGUGAAAUACACAAAUGCUGAAAUACAAUUAAAACAUUCUCUGUGCACCAACAGCCAUACUCAAAACAGUAUUUAUUAUGAUAUCUCAGUAGCUGAACUGAAAGCAUUCAUAGGUCUACUAUACUUAGCAGGGGUUUCUCAUGGUAAUCACAAGAAUGUAAAAGACUUAUGGA